rnacentral:rRNA from 2 species
UACGAAAGGUGAGAGCGUUAAUCGGAAUUACUGGGCGUAAAGCGCGCGUAGGCGGUGUGUUAAGUCGGAUGUGAAAGCCCAGGGCUCAACCUUGGAAUUGCAUCCGAUACUGGCACGCUAGAGUGCAGUAGAGGGAGGUGGAAUUUCCGGUGUAGCGGUGAAAUGCGUAGAGAUCGGAAGGAACACCAGUGGCGAAGGCGGCCUCCUGGACUGACACUGACGCUGAGGUGCGAAAGCGUGGGGAGCAAAC